AGAGUUUGAUCCUGGCUCAGAUUGAACGCUGGCGGCAGGCCUAACACAUGCAAGUCGAACGGUAACAGGAAGCAGCUUGCUGCUUUGCUGACGAGUGGCGGACGGGUGAGUAAUGUCUGGGAAACUGCCCGAUGGAGGGGGAUAACUACUGGAAACGGUAGCUAAUACCGCAUAAYGUCGCAAGACCAAAGAGGGGGACCUUCGGGCCUCUUGCCAUCGGAUGUGCCCAGAUGGGAUUAGCUAGUAGGUGGGGUAACGGCUCACCUAGGCGACGAUCCCUAGCUGGUCUGAGAGGAUGACCAGCCACACUGGAACUGAGACACGGUCCAGACUCCUACGGGAGGCAGCAGUGGGGAAUAUUGCACAAUGGGCGCAAGCCUGAUGCAGCCAUGCCGCGUGUAUGAAGAAGGCCUUCGGGUUGUAAAGUACUUUCAGCGGGGAGGAAGGGAGUGCGGUUAAUAACCGUAUUCAUUGACGUUACCCGCAGAAGAAGCACCGGCUAACUCCGUGCCAGCAGCCGCGGUAAUACGGAGGGUGCAAGCGUUAAUCGGAAUUACUGGGCGUAAAGCGCACGCAGGCGGUCUGUCAAGUCGGAUGUGAAAUCCCCGGGCUCAACCUGGGAACUGCAUUCGAAACUGGCAGGCUUGAGUCUCGUAGAGGGAGGUAGAAUUCCAGGUGUAGCGGUGAAAUGCGUAGAGAUCUGGAGGAAUACCGGUGGCGAAGGCGGCCUCCUGGACGAAGACUGACGCUCAGGUGCGAAAGCGUGGGGAGCAAACAGGAUUAGAUACCCUGGUAGUCCACGCCGUAAACGAUGUCUACUUGGAGGUUGUGCCCUUGAGGCGUGGCUUCCGGAGCUAACGCGUUAAGUAGACCGCCUGGGGAGUACGGCCGCAAGGUUAAAACUCAAAUGAAUUGACGGGGGCCCGCACAAGCGGUGGAGCAUGUGGUUUAAUUCGAUGCAACGCGAAGAACCUUACCUGGUCUUGACAUCCACAGAACUUAGCAGAGAUGCUUUGGUGCCUUCGGGAACUGUGAGACAGGUGCUGCAUGGCUGUCGUCAGCUCGUGUUGUGAAAUGUUGGGUUAAGUCCCGCAACGAGCGCAACCCUUAUCCUUUGUUGCCAGCGGUCCGGCCGGGAACUCAAAGGAGACUGCCAGUGAUAAACUGGAGGAAGGUGGGGAUGACGUCAAGUCAUCAUGGCCCUUACGACCAGGGCUACACACGUGCUACAAUGGCAUAUACAAAGAGAAGCGACCUCGCGAGAGCAAGCGGACCUCAUAAAGUAUGUCGUAGUCCGGAUUGGAGUCUGCAACUCGACUCCAUGAAGUCGGAAUCGCUAGUAAUCGUGGAUCAGAAUGCCACGGUGAAUACGUUCCCGGGCCUUGUACACACCGCCCGUCACACCAUGGGAGUGGGUUGCAAAAGAAGUAGGUAGCUUAACCUUCGGGAGGGCGCUUACCACUUUGUGAUUCAUGACUGGGGUGAAGUCGUAACAAGGUAACCGU
rnacentral:rRNA from 1 species